GUUUACUUGGCAGAUUUUAAUGCGAUUGAUUUAGGUUCAAUAUAUACUUCAUUGUAGUAAAUU
rnacentral:tRNA from 1 species